GACGUAGGGGGCCAGCGUUGCUCGGAAUUACUGGGUGUAAAGGGUUCGUAGGCGGCUCGGUAAGUCGGGUGUGAAACCUCCAGGCUCAACCUGGAGACGCCACCUGAUACUGCUGUGGCUAGAGUCCGGUAGGGGAGUGUGGAACUCCUGGUGUAGCGGUGAAAUGCGCAGAUAUCAGGAAGAACACCAGCGGCGAAGGCGGCACUCUGGGCCGGUACUGACGCUGAGGUGCGAAAGCGUGGGGAGCAAACAGG
rnacentral:rRNA from 1 species